ACCAUUUUCAGCUCCACCCAUAAAUGCCAGCGCUGACUACUUUCCAGCUCCACCUAUUUCGCCAACGCUGACUACCUUUCCCAAGCAUAAUCAUAAGAGUUCACUUUUCCAGAGCUAUGUUUAUUCUUUCCAGCUUCGUCAUAUUCUUGCCAGCACCAUUACUUUCCAACUAUGUUUAUUCUUGCCAGCGCUGUCCCCAUGUGUAUCUAGCUAUGCUUAUUCUCAUCAGUAGCUAGGUCUAUAAUAGGGUUUCAUUUCUAUUGUAAAAUCAUCUAUCUUUUGCUAUAGUUUGAGACUCCAUCUUUGAGAUCUCUUGGCAUCCGAAAAAUAGAAUUUAUUGCUU
rnacentral:lncRNA from 1 species